rnacentral:rRNA from 1 species
GUGCCUAAUACAUGCAAGUCGAACGCGAAAGCCCCGCAAGGGGCAAGUAGAGUGGCAAACGGGUGAGUAACACGUGGGCGACCUACCUUCGAGUGGGGGAUAACCUUCCGAAAGGAGGGCUAAUACCGCAUGACAGCCUCUGUUUGGAUACAGGGGACUCAAAGCCGGGGAUCGUAAGACCUGGCGCUUGGAGAGGGGCCCGCGUCCGAUUAGCUAGUUGGUGGGGUAACGGCUCACCAAGGCUUCGAUCGGUAUCCGGCCUGAGAGGGCGGACGGACACACUGGGACUGAGACACGGCCCAG